UAUCUGUCUUGCGGGCUAGGCAGCACACGGGAGCUUUGGCACAGCCUCUCUUCACAUUGUGAAACUCCAAGCAAGUUGUUCCACCUUACUGAACCCGGCAGACAGCAGGGAGUCCCUACUCUCAGGGAUCCUGGGAGGAAUGGCCAAUAAACAUGAAGGAGGAAGCUUCUUUUAUGAUGGCUAGACAAGGCAUGGGGAUAUUGGAAGAAGAGAAGUGGCUGGGUUCAACUCACAGGUUGAAAGCCUCUCUGCUCUGUGAAAAAAGGUGCUCUGGAAUCACAGAUGCUUAGGAGGCUGUUGCAAUAAUCACAGCAAUCCAAGACGAGAGCAGUGGAAGAGCAGAAACAGGCCAGAGUCUGCAAACAGAGAACAUGCUUUUUACCAGAAAUGCUAAUGGGGUUUGCUGAUAAAUUGGCUAGAUUCGCUAUGGAGCUCAAAAUAUGACUGGCUGUAAAGACUACAGAAAAAUUCCUUUGUUUGGGAGAGGAGCUUAAUGCCCUUUGCAGAUCCAGGACACCCAUCCAGACAGCCUUUGUGGAGAAAGCAGACAGGCAUGUACUGGAUCUCUUCAGGGUUCUGAUGCCCUACUCCAGUGACACCCACAGCUGGAUAUACAUUGUUUUACAGUCAUAAGAUUUGAGGAUAAGAAUAGUAACCACAACAAAAUAAAAUAGUGAUAUGGGUCUGUGUAACUUCACAGGUGUGAAAAGAGUCUGAACAGAAAAGACUUGUUCACCGGACUGAAGGCUGCUCCAGCUCCAUAACAGCCAAUACUUGAGACUUCUUAGUGCAGAGCAUCCAGGCUAUCUGCUCCACUCCACACCUGGGGACUGCAGUGCAUUUAGAGACAAGGGUUUGCUCAGAGUCAUUCCCAGACUCUAUUUAUUUAGAAUGAUUUCAGCUGGUAGUAAUUUGUGAUGGAAGGAGUCUGGGAGUCAGAGGGAUUGCAUUUCUAGCUUGAUGCUGACGUGAAUGGGUUGCCUGGGGAAGGACUUAACCUCUGCAUCCUGCUCUCUUAACUGGCUAGACCACUGCAUAUUUUCAGAAGACUGUGUGAAAAUUAACUGAGUAAUUUGUGUAACUCCAUAUA